rnacentral:rRNA from 1 species
UACGUAGGUGGCGAGCGUUGUCCGGAUUUACUGGGCGUAAAGAGCGCGCAGGCGGUCGUACAAGUCGCGUGUGAAAGCCCCCGGCUCAACUGGGGAGGGUCACGCGAUACUGUUCGACUCGAAGGCAGGAGAGGGAAGUGGAAUUCCCGGUGUAGUGGUGAAAUGCGUAGAUAUCGGGAGGAACACCAGUGGCGAAGGCGACUUCCUGGCCUGUUCUUGACGCUGAGGCGCGAAAGCCUAGGGUAGCAAACGGGG